UGCUGGGAUUACAGGCAUGAGCCACUGUUCCCGGCCCCUCUUUUUUGACCAGACAUAAUAACUGUCAUGGUUAAAUCCCUGUCUUGGUUCAGAAGGCCCACGUUGUUGCAUUUUUGGUCUAAGAAUAUAAGUGAAUUUGUUGUCUAGUUGAGUGCUUCCCAAACAAUUUGCAAAGGACUCCCCUGGGGAUCCCAUCAAAAUGCAGCUUCUGGUGGUUCUGUGGGUCUGGCCUGGGCUGGAGAUUCGGCAGUUCUCACAAGCUCCCAGGCCAUGCUGAUACUGCUGGUCUGAGGACCACUCGGUCCUUUCUCAGGGAUGGUGGGACUUAGGCGUGGACUUACUUUGUAGAACACAUCAUCCUGACUAUUGGUGGUGCUCAUUUACACGUUGAUGUAAUUCCUUUAAACCAGCGUCCUGUGUUAGGGAAAACGUUCCCAACAGUCCCGUUGCGGUCACCAUUUCUUGUAGUUUAUUCACCAGGGUCUCUAUGUCAUGCAAGCUGGGUUCUCUGAGGUCUCUUAUUUACAUAGGUACAUCAAGAGGCAAUGAUUAACAUCCAAAGACCUCUUUGCUAUUUGCUUAACAAAACUGCAGUCAUCUGUUGGGGAAAUAUAAUUUAAAAACAAAAUCCCCCAACCCAGAAAGCCUCGCCACAAAAGUAAAAGCAAAAGAAAACAAUUUUAUGAUUGAAUAAGCAUUAAACCAAAACGCGUUGAGCAUCACAGGCAGCCCACUGAAAGAACUGCAGAGACAAAUCUCCCGCUUUGAUACAGCUAAGUGGAUACAGCCCAUGCACUGUGUAAGUGGGUUUUGCCAUUUAGAAUCAGGUGACAGCUGAAGUUGGGAUCAUCCCCUCCGGAAAACAGUUAUCUUCCUUGAUGAUUACAGUUCACGUGGGUGGCUCAGGUCCUUGGGGAAACAUGACUUGAGUUGGGGGAAACUGGCAGGAGACUCAUUUAACCACUUGAAAGCUGUAUACACUUUUGAAAAGGACAGAGAAAGAAAUUCUGAAAGGAUAUGGAAGUGAAGGGUAUCUUCCCUUGUUUUCUUUCUCUUCUUUUUUCUUUUUUUCUUUUUUUUGAGAGGGAGUCUCACUCUAUUGCCCAGCCUGGAGUGCAGUGGCGUGAUCUCGG
rnacentral:lncRNA from 10 species